AUGACGGCGAGACGGGCAGUUUUUUAAGAGACCAGGGAAUACGGACAGAGAGAGAGGAAACUAGUGUUUUGAAAAGAGGAAAAAAGAAGGACGAAGGGAUCCGUUCCAACAGCCGGUUCCAUUUUGGAUCCAGAUCCCAGUCUGCAAAAUACUUGGAUCUGUUAACCUCAGCUGAUGAUGAAUCUCUUAUCAAAUCCUCACGGUUUUCAUUAGCAAGGAGCAACAGAAAACUUACUGAUGGGCUGAGAACAUAAUAAGGCUGCGACUAAAAACUGAAGUGUUGCUGUUGUAGCUACUUAAAGUCUUUCUCCGAAAACAGGAAAAGGGAUGUUGUCUUAUCUUCUGCUGAGCACAAUAUAUGUGUUUACUCGUGUCUAUUGUUUUGUUCAUAUGGUAUUCUGUUUUGCUUCCCCAGAAGCUGUCGGUUCAGAUCAGAUUUUGUGUGCAGAACUGAAAUGAAGCGGAAACCACACUGACCCGGCAGCGUGCCCGUGGGGUUUGGAGCACACCCAGUGGUGUACACUGAGAACAUUUCCUAGAAAUGAUGGCAAACACCUGCACUUUGAUUAGGAAAGCUUUAUGCAAACAGAACAUGGACCAAAACAAGAUUAAAAAAGGGUGGACGCAGAGUGAGGAGGGUGGAGGCCAUAUUGACACGAAGGUGAACACAUUAAAGCUAUACGCACCCGCUGAUGAUAAUGCUGUCGUCAAACAGGUAGGCCUUGAUGUGCUGGACUCCGAUGGUCUCGUUGAAGCGCUGAGGGACCAGCAGCCGCAGCAGCCCCCUCAGGUCUGGAGUGUGAUACAGAGACACCCGCAUCUGAGAGGCGAAGCGCUGCAGCAACGGCAGCAGCAUGGUCCUCGAGUUGACCUGUCCUGCACACGAGAGCCACAAAACACAAUCAGGACGAUGAGCGCGGCGCUCGGCGAUACUCAGCACGGGGGAAAACGGCAACAACCUCGCGAGCCGCGCGUGUAGUCCAGCAAUAUGGAGACUUUCAACUCUGGAGCUUGACCGUUUGCCUGCGAACGCUGCAGAGCUUCCUCCAUACAGUCCACCUGAACAAGAAGAAAAACAACAGUGGAUGACCAUCAGAACAUUCAUAAGAGAGUAAUGCAUCAAUUUCACCCCUAAACAAACAUCUGCAACUGGGUUCAAGUGAACUUCUGUCAAGGAUGAGUGAGCACAAGGUUUCCUUUCGUCUGUAAGCAUGUUUUCACUUCUCAUUCGGCAAACCACAAGGUUUGUGUUCUUCUGCCUUGUCAGCAGGUGAUGUUUGUUCUUACUUGUUCUCUGAAAGCUAAGGAGACGUUACUCUUUGUCCUGCUGCUUGUGUAUGCAAAGAGGGCAGACACAAAACAAAGCCGUGGAUUAACUAUUAUUGAUUAACUGGCAGCAGACAACAUCUAUCAGACACUGGCAACCCUUUUAUUAUCUGUUUACCAAGCGUGGGAAAAGCACAGCUAACUCAAGAGGAAAUGGCAGCUCUUCAGAGGGCACCACUGGUAGCCAGCGUAGAGUCUUCAUUUGUGGCGAGCCUGGCAUUUGUUCCCCACCUGAUAUCAAACCCGCGUGCUUUUUCCACUUCGGCUAAAUUGUGCAUCUGGUGCCCAAAUGCACUCAUUAUACGUCACUCCAGAGAGCUUGUUUGCAUGCCAGUAAAAGGUUUCUUCUUCCCAGUAGAGAGGUCUCUGGGGACGUCUUGCACCACCAACACCUCCAGCUCUGCUCUGGGGAGAAAUGUGAUCACGAGUAGGAGGUCUGAGGGACGCCAAAAAAUGUGCUUGUCCUUUAAAGCAAAGACACAGCAAACUCUGAACAAACACUUACCACCUACAAAUUCGGGGAAAAGCUGCUUUUAACUAAAUGUCAAGUAUUUAGACUGUGGGUCACAAACUGCUGGCCUCCUGCGAGACAAUUUCAUGGUUCAGAGUUUAAAAUUACCCCCAAAACCCAAAAGAAUGAGAGAGGACAAAGAGGCCACCGGCAGCUCAGAGGUAAUUUGAGUUUGAUACUUCUUAGUCCACGUUUAUGUUGUGUUCUACUGUACUUAGUUUUGUUUUUGUGUGUUUUAGAUUUAUUUCUAAUGAAUGUCUUCAUUCAAAAAGAAACUUCACAGCAACAUCAUCCUUUUCAUUCUACACAUUCUUCUGUCUUGUCAAAACCCACUGCCCACAUUACCCACAAUCCCACAAUUCACCACAGACAGUUUGGCUGGGAAUUUGGGUUUGUUCCGAUAAUGUAGCCUCAAGGCUUCACCUGAGGUAAUUUGUUAUAUUCUACGGUGGCACAAGCUCACGUAUGAGCCAAGAAAGGCUUUAAACAACCUUUUUUUCCCCCCACAUAUGCAGUCGUACUCCCCAACACCUGCACACAGGUAUAAAAGCACUCUGAAUUAACUGUGCAUAUUGUCUGCUGAAAAAAAAAAAAAAAAAACACGCCUUUCUUUAAAAAUUUCACAUCAUUCUCAUUGCCUGCACCUGCGCAUAUGUAAAUAAGUCAACAGGGGUGUGACCGUCGAUAUCACUUAAGUGCCUUUUGUGCCGAGCGUGGGAUCAGGGUCGUGUUGGACAUCCAGGCUUUAGGGUGAAAUUACACCUGCAGUUUGGAUUGUUCGCUCUAAACUCACAUUUUUUUUGUCCUGACGUGAGGUCAGUUCAUUCUGUCCAAAUUAAAGCAAACCUGAGCUUGAAAAUAAAA